CCUACGGGAGGCAGCAGUGAGGAAUAUUGGUCAAUGGACGAGAGUCUGAACCAGCCAAGUCGCGUGAGGGAUGACGGCCCUGAGGGUUGUAAACUUCUUUUGUAUGGGAAUAAAACCGGGUAUGCAUCCCCUCUUGUGUGUACCAUAUGAAUAAGGAUCGGCUAACUCCGUGCCAGCAUCCGCGGUAAUCCGGAGGAUCCGAGCGUUAUCCGGAUUUGUUGGGUUUAAAGGGAGCGUAGGUGGAUUGUUAAGUCAGUUGUGAAAGUCUGCGGCUCAACCGUAAACUCGCAGUUGAAACUGGCAGUCUUGAGUACAGGAGAGGUGGGCGGAAUUCGUGGUGUAGCGGUGAAAUGCUUAGAUAUCACGAAGAACUCCGAUUGCGAAGGCAGCUCACUGGACUGCAACUGACACUGAUGCACGAAAGUGUGGGUAUCAAACAGGAUUAGAUACCCGAGUAGUC
rnacentral:rRNA from 1 species